CCACCUAUAGCUCAGCUGGAUAGAGCACAAGUUUCCUAAACCUGGGGUCAGAAGUUCGAAUCUUCUUAGGUGGGCCA
rnacentral:tRNA from 1 species